GGGAAAGUUGCAAAGAACUUUGAAGAGAGAGUUCAAGAGUACGUGAAACCGCUCGGAGGCAAACGGGUGGGCCCUCGAAGGUCGAACGGGGGGAUUCAUCCCGUCCGCUGGCAUGGUUGCACGUCACGGAUGGCGAGGCGUUGGGGGUUUUCUCCCUCGCGUCUGGCCUGACGGAUCCGAACGUCGGACCGGUCCGUGACACCAAAGUUAUAUCUUUGUUGCGACCGCGGGCGGGCGCACUUCCCCCUCAGUAGGACGCCGCGACCGGUUGGGUAUCGCUAGGAAAAGCGGCUUUGCAGCGGGACGCCGGCAGGUAUCCGUUGCCCGGUCACCUUUCUCACGUCGUUACUGGCGAGGGAAAUGCCGGUCGGAAUUACAGCUGGUCUCUGCUUCGGCUGCUGCCCGACCGAGGAACUGCGUGCCCGCGCUGUCAUGCGACUUCGGUUGCGCGAGACGCGCGGUUCGCCCGCCUGGCAGGCUGGGCCACCGGGUGCCGGACGCCCCUAGUUUGGCGGUCGGUUUUCUCGUCGUGGCCCGCUGUUGGUUGGGUGUAGCUGCUCUCGUGGUGGCGCUCGUGGUCAGCGGCGAGUAGGUCGGUCGCCCACCCGACCCGUCUUGAAACACGGA
rnacentral:rRNA from 1 species